CUACGGGUUGCAGCAGUGGGGAAUAUUGCACAAUGGGCGCAAGCCUGAUGCAGCCAUGCCGCGUGUAUGAAGAAGGCCUUCGGGUUGUAAAGUACUUUCAGCGGGGAGGAAGGGAGUAAAGUUAAUACCUUUGCUCAUUGACGUUACCCGCAGAAGAAGCACCGGCAAACUCCGUGCCAGCAGCCGCGGUAAUACGGAGGGUGCAAGCGUUAGUCGGAAUUACUGGGCGUAAAGCGCACGCAGGCGGUUUGUUAAGUCAGAUGUGAAAUCCCCGGGCUCAACCUGGGAACUGCAUCUGAUACUGGCAAGCUUGAGUCUCGUAGAGGGGGGUAGAAUUCCAGGUGUAGCGGUGAAAUGCGUAGAGAUCUGGAGGAAUACCGGUGGCGAAGGCGGCCCCCUGGACGAAGACUGACGCUCAGGUGCGAAAGCGUGGGGAGCAAACAGGAUUAGAUACCCCAGUAGUC
rnacentral:rRNA from 1 species